ACGACUCUCGGCAACGGAUAUCUCGGCUCUCGCAUCGAUGAAGAACGUAGCGAAAUGCGAUACUUGGUGUGAAUUGCAGAAUCCCGUGAACCAUCGAGUCUUUGAACGCAAGUUGCGCCCGAAUCCGUCAGGCCAAGGGCACGUCUGCCUGGGUGUCACGCA
rnacentral:rRNA from 1 species